rnacentral:rRNA from 1 species
UUUGGAUUAUGGCUCAGAUUGAACGCUGGCGGCAGGCCUAACACAUGCAAGUCGAGCGGAUGACGGGAGCUUGCUCCUUGAUUCAGCGGCGGACGGGUGAGUAAUGCCUAGGAAUCUGCCUGGUAGUGGGGGACAACGUUUCGAAAGGAACGCUAAUACCGCAUACGUCCUACGGGAGAAAGCAGGGGACCUUCGGGCCUUGCGCUAUCAGAUGAGCCUAGGUCGGAUUAGCUAGUUGGUGGGGUAAUGGCUCACCAAGGCGACGAUCCGUAACUGGUCUGAGAGGAUGAUCAGUCACACUGGAACUGAGACACGGUCCAGACUCCUACGGGAGGCAGCAGUGGGGAAUAUUGGACAAUGGGCGAAAGCCUGAUCCAGCCAUGCCGCGUGUGUGAAGAAGGUCUUCGGAUUGUAAAGCACUUUAAGUUGGGAGGAAGGGCAGUAAGYUAAUACCUUGCUGUUUUGACGUUACCGACAGAAUAAGCACCGGCUAACUCUGUGCCAGCAGCCGCGGUAAUACAGAGGGUGCAAGCGUUAAUCGGAAUUACUGGGCGUAAAGCGCGCGUAGGUGGUUUGUUAAGUUGGAUGUGAAAGCCCCGGGCUCAACCUGGGAACUGCAUCCAAAACUGGCAAGCUAGAGUACGGUAGAGGGUGGUGGAAUUUCCUGUGUAGCGGUGAAAUGCGUAGAUAUAGGAAGGAACACCAGUGGCGAAGGCGACCACCUGGACUGAUACUGAC